AAAACUGGAAGAACCGGACAAGAACCAACACAGCAAGAGCUGCUCAAACAGAGGGAACGAGGAGCUGAUGGACUCGAGUCUGUCUGUGCUGGAGCUGGAUGCUGGAUCUCUUCCCGUCCACGGCUCCAGCGCUGAUGUGGCCAGAGAGAACGGGAAAGUGGUUUAGAUGGGAAAUGAUGUCACUCAAAUCUGGCUCAAACCAAAUCAAAGCGCAGCCCGACCCCAUCCCUUGCUUUAGUUUCUGUCUGAUUGUGUUUGUUUCAUCGGAUGCAGAACGCUGUAAACGCUGGCUGUGGUUGUCCUGCUUCGUUCAUCUUCUCGUAGGUGAAGAUUGUUAAUGCUUCAGCGCACACUAAACCCAAAGCUCGGAUGGAUUUCAGUCUGAACGCACUACAAACGACUUGAAUGUGGAACAAACCCAUAGACACAGAGUGCAUUUAGACGUCACCAGCGCGCUAACUGACUUCACCUAGUCUAGUCCUCCUCAUCAUAACUCAUAUAAGCCUCAUAUAAUAUUCUUCAUAAGCACAUGUGUCGUGGGGUUUGGUGUGGAUGGUUCAAGUAUGUUACUUAGCACUUUAUUUUGAAAGACUGAACUGAAAAGUAUUAAACCAGUUUAAAGAUGAAGGACUGUUAAGGUCUAAAUUGUUUAGUUUUACAAAAGACCGCAGGAUGUUUAUGACCUUAAAGUGUUUUAGUUACAGGUUUAUUUGGUCCGGCUAGUUCAGCACUCGGUAGUUUAUUAUAAAUGGCAAUAAAUGAUGAUCGUGCUGAUGUUCAUCUUCUUAACGUUUCUGUAUUUCUGAUGAAGGUUUGAGGUUUUAAGUGACUAAUGGUUGAGUUUUAUAUCGUCACGUUAAGUAUCUCGUGUUCAUUUGGUUUUGAAAUUAAUGUUAAAUAUAAAAACUGUACUGUGAUGCUUGCACUGAUUUCACUGGACAGAAUAUUAAAAUGCACUCAAAUUAUACCCAACACGAACCUGAUUUAUGAAUUUAUACCAACAAUAUCUACCUGUAAAAAAUACAU